UUGGAUGUUUAUUAUUAUUAUUAUUUGGCUUAAAUUCAAGAAUUUAUAAUUUUAAAGAUGACUUCGGUAUCAUUUAGCUAAAACUCGUCAGUCCUGGAUGUUGCAUACUCAUAUGAUAAUCUGUUGAGGUGUCUUACAUUAUAUUUGUCUUUUGUUUUGUUCCAAGGGGUGGAUAUGAAGAUGAAGCAUAUAAAAGUAGGCGGGAAGAACCUGAAGCUUACAAUUUGGGACACUGCUGGACAAGAGAGAUACAGAACAUUAACAAGCACUUAUUAUAGAGAUGCCCAUGGGAUCAUCCUUGGUAUAUAUGCUUCUAAUACUACAAAUUUAUGUGAUUUAGCUUGUUAAGAAUGACUUUGGUGUGCCCAAUUUAAGCUUUCAGCUAGUCCUUUUUUUAACCUCCUUGUAUUGUAAAUUUGAAACAAUACCUAAAUUAAUAAAACAAUAAUAAUAAUAAU
rnacentral:misc_RNA from 1 species